CAUAUCUACCUGAUGUGGACAUAUCUACCUGAUGUGAGGUGGACAUAUCUACCUGAGGUGGACAUAUCUACCUGAGGUGGACAUAUCUACCUUGCAUCUAUGCUCACAGAGCAUCACUAUAUCGUGGUGUGGUUUCCACAGGGCAGGCGUGACCAGGUGAUAAUCCCUUAGUAGAGUUCUGUGAGUGUGUGUCCCCAUAUCUAGCUAAUAUUAAUGCUCACUGCAUCCUCAUAUGAUGGGAUGGUUACCGCAGUGCUGAAAUGAGGAGGUGAUGAUCCUUUAGUAGAGUUCCUCUCAGAGCCUUCAUUGAUCGUCUCCUCUGUCUCCUGACCACCAGCCCCUACCCACUACCCUGCAGAGGAACACACCCUGGAGCAGAUCUGGGGCCAGAUUACGGUGUGAUCACACACAGAUCACAGCCAGAUCUGGGUCCAGAUUACGAUGUGAUCACACACAGAUUACAGCCUGACUGGGGCCAGAUUACGGUGUGAUCACACACAGAUCACAGCCAGAUCUGGGUCCAGAUUACGAUGUGAUCACACACAGAUUACAGCCUGACUGGGGCCAGAUUACGGUGUGAUCAUGAUCGUGCAUUAGGGCCAGAAGCGUGCCUGGCCAUGGCUGUCAUCUCCUCCUGUUCUGGGAAGUGUGUGUGUUGGAGAAAGGGAGUGGUGGUGAGUGGGGGUUCCCCUUCAGCCCAAACGAGAUUAAACUGAAUCACAUUUGUCCAGUUUAGUCUUGGGGUCUCUCCUCACGUGUCACUGAAAUGUUCAUCAAAGUGACGACUGAUUGACAGGGAAUGACUGACAACCAGAUAGCAUGUACGGAUGUGCCAUUAACCUCCAAAUGUACCUGAUGAAGCCAUUAAA